rnacentral:rRNA from 1 species
UACUCCUACGGGGAGGCAGCAGUGGGGAAUAUUGCACAAUGGGCGCAAGCCUGAUGCAGCCAUGCCGCGUGUAUGAAGAAGGCCUUCGGGUUGUAAAGUACUUUCAGCGGGGAGGAAGGCGAUGGGGUUAAUAACCCUGUCGAUUGACGUUACCCGCAGAAGAAGCACCGGCUAACUCCGUGCCAGCAGCCGCGGUAAUACGGAGGGUGCAAGCGUUAAUCGGAAUUACUGGGCGUAAAGCGCACGCAGGCGGUCUGUUAAGUCAGAUGUGAAAUCCCCGGGCUUAACCUGGGAACUGCAUUUGAAACUGGCAGGCUUGAGUCUUGUAGAGGGGGGUAGAAUUCCAGGUGUAGCGGUGAAAUGCGUAGAGAUCUGGAGGAAUACCGGUGGCGAAGGCGGCCCCCUGGACAAAGACUGACGCUCA